rfam:Picea glauca, whole genome shotgun sequence.
CUCAUGGAGAGUUUGAUCCUGGCUUAGGAUGAACGCUGGUGGCAUGCUUAACACAUGCAAGUCGGACGGGAAGUGGUGUUUCCAGUGGCGGAUGGGUGAGUAACGCGUAAGAACCUACCCUUGGGAGGGGAACAACAGCUAGAAACGGAUGCUAAUACCCCAUAGGAUGAGGAGCAAAAGGAGGAAUCUUCCCAAGGAGGGGCUCGCGUCUAAUUAUUUAGUUGGUGAGGCAAUGGCUUACCAAGGCGACGAUUAGUAGCUAGUCCGAGAGGAUGAUCAACCACACUGGGACUGAGACACGGCCCAGACUCCUACGGGAGGUAGCAGUGGAGAAUUUUCCACAAUGGGAAAAAUCCUAACGGAGCAAUGUCGCAUGAAGGCAGAAGGCCCAUGGGUCAUGAACUUCUUUUCUCGGAGAAUAAACAAUGACGGUAUCUGAGAAAUAAACAUCGGCUAACUUUGUGCAUAACACAGUGGAUUCUUCACACAGUUCAAGUGAGACGAAGCUCACAAAUCAAACUUUAAUUCACAGAGGAAAACUCCAUUA